rnacentral:rRNA from 1 species
UGGGGAAUAUUGGACAAUGGGCGAAAGCCUGAUCCAGCCAUGCCGCGUGUGUGAAGAAGGUCUUCGGAUUGUAAAGCACUUUAAGUUGGGAGGAAGGGCAGUAAGCGAAUACCUUGCUGUUUUGACGUUACCGACAGAAUAAGCACCGGCUAACUCUGUGCCAGCAGCCGCGGUAAUACAGAGGGUGCAAGCGUUAAUCGGAAUUACUGGGCGUAAAGCGCGCGUAGGUGGUUCGUUAAGUUGAAUGUGAAAGCCCCGGGCUCAACCUGGGAACUGCAUCCAAAACUGGCGAGCUAGAGUAGGGCAGAGGGUGGGGGAAUUUCCUGUGUAGCGGUGAAAUGCGUAGAUAUAGGAAGGAACACCAGUGGCGAAGGCGACCACCUGGGCUCAUACUGACACUGAGGUGCGAAAGCGUGGGGAGCAAACAGG